rnacentral:rRNA from 1 species
GACGAACGCUGGCGGCGUGCCUAACACAUGCAAGUCGAGCGACCGGCGGACGGGUGAGUACUGUAUGUCGGUCUGCCCGAUAGAGGGGGAUUCCUACUGGAAACGGUAGCUAAUACCGCAUCCUAUCGGAUGCACCUAUAUGGGAUUAGCUAGUAGGUGGGGUACUGGCUCACCCAGGCGACGAUCCCUAGUUGGUCUGAGAGGAUGAUCAGCCACACUGGGACUGAGACACGGCCCAGACUCCUACGGGAGGCAGCAGUGGGGAAUAUUGGACAAUGGGCGAAAGCCUGAUGCAGCCAUGCCGCGUGUAUGAAGAAGGCCCUAGGGUUGUAAAGUACUUUCAGUCGGGAGGCGUUACCGACAGAAGAAGCACCGGCUAACUCCGUGCCAGCAGCCGCGGUAAUAC